rnacentral:rRNA from 1 species
UAACGGUCCUAAGGUAGCGAAAUUCCUUGUCGGGUAAGUUCCGACCUGCACGAAUGGCGUAAUGAUGGCCAGGCUGUCUCCACCCGAGACUCAGUGAAAUUGAACUCGCUGUGAAGAUGCAGUGUACCCGCGGCAAGACGGAAAGACCCCGUGAACCUUUACUAUAGCUUGACACUGAACAUUGAGCCUUGAUGUGUAGGAUAGGUGGGAGGCUUUGAAGCGUGGACGCCAGUCUGCGUGGAGCCGACCUUGAAAUACCACCCUUUAAUGUUUGAUGUUCUAACGUGGACCCGUGAUCCGGGUUGCGGACAGUGUCUGGUGGGUAGUUUGACUGGGGCGGUCUCCUCCUAAAGAGUAACGGAGGAGCACGAAGGUUGGCUAAUCCUGGUCGGACAUCAGGAGGUUAGUGCAAUGGCAUAAGCCAGCUUGACUGCGAGCGUGACGGCGCGAGCAGGUGCGAAAGCAGGUCAUAGUGAUCCGGUGGUUCUGAAUGGAAGGGCCAUCGCUCAACGGAUAAAAGGUACUCCGGGGAUAACAGGCUGAUACCGCCCAAGAGUUCAUAUCGACGGCGGUGUUUGGCACCUCGAUGUCGGCUCAUCACAUCCUGGGGCUGAAGUAGGUCCCAAGGGUAUGGCUGUUCGCCAUUUAAAGUGGUACGCGAGCUGGGUUUAGAACGUCGUGAGACAGUUCGGUCCCUAUCUGCCGUGGGCGCUGGAGAAUUGAGGGGGGCUGCUCCUAGUACGAGAGGACCGGAGUGGACGCAUCACUGGUGUUCGGGUUGUCAUGCCAAUGGCACUGCCCGGUAGCUAAAUGCGGAAGAGAUAAGUGCUGAAAGCAUCUAAGCACGAAACUUGCCCCGAGAUGAGUUCUCCCUGACUCCUUGAGAGUCCUGAAGGAACGUUGAAGACGACGACGUUGAUAGGCCGGGUGUGUAAGCGCAGCGAUGCGUUGAGCUAACCGGUACUAAUGAACCGUGAGGCUUAACCUU